AACUCGGGUUUUCCCUUAAAAAACCCCUAAAUCUUUCCCCUUUUAAACUAAAAAUUUCCUGGGGGGGAAAAACCCAAAUGAGUCUUACUAAAUUUUUUCUAAGCCCCUUUCGGGGGGUUU